rnacentral:rRNA from 1 species
GACGAACGCUGGCGGCGUGCUUAACACAUGCAAGUCGAACGCUGAAGCUUGGUGCUUGCACUGGGUGGAUGAGUGGCGAACGGGUGAGUAACACGUGAGUAACCUGCCUUUGACUCUGGGAUAAGCCUGGGAAACUGGGUCUAAUACUGGAUACGACAUGUCACCGCAUGGUGGUGUGUGGAAAGGGUUUUAUUGGUUUUGGAUGGGCUCACGGCCUAUCAGCUUGUUGGUGGGGUAAUGGCUCACCAAGGCGACGACGGGUAGCCGGCCUGAGAGGGUGACCGGCCACACUGGGACUGAGACACGGCCCAGACUCCUACGGGAGGCAGCAGUGGGGAAUAUUGCACAAUGGGCGGAAGCCUGAUGCAGCGACGCCGCGUGAGGGAUGACGGCCUUCGGGUUGUAAACCUCUUUCAGCACGGAAGAAGCGAAAGUGACGGUACGUGCAGAAGAAGCGCCGGCUAACUACGUG